rnacentral:rRNA from 1 species
GUAGGUGGCAAGCGUUGUCCGGAAUUAUUGGGCGUAAAGCGCGGGCAGGCGGUUCUUUAAGUCUGAUGUGAAAGCCCACGGCUCAACCGUGGAGGGUCAUUGGAAACUGGAGAACUUGAGUACAGAAGAGGAAAGCGGAAUUCCACGUGUAGCGGUGAAAUGCGUAGAGAUGUGGAGGAACACCAGUGGCGAAGGCGGCUUUCUGGUCUGUAACUGACGCUGAGGCGCGAAAGCGUGGGGAGCAAACAGGAUUAGAUACCCUGGUAGUCCACGCCGUAAACGAUGAGUGCUAAGUGUUAGGGGGUUUCCCGCCCCCCUUAGUGCUGCAGCUAACGCAUUAAGCACUCCGCCUGGGGAGUACGGCCGCAAGGCUG